AGGGCUCAGACCCCCCCCACCAGGCUGUGCUGUAGGUAGCACAUCUCCAACCUCCACUCCUGCCCCCCAGGUAGCCAGGCUCCGUGUGCCUGUGUUGCUUUGCAGAGCAAAUAUUGGGAUCGGGCCCCGAUUUCUGCAUCAGGGCUCGUUCCCACGUUGGCCGGGAUUAGCCCCUCCCUCCCCUGCCGAGCGGUGGGGGACAGGAGAAGCCGAGGCAUUUCCUGCAAUGGCUAAUUAGAUCCAGCUCCCGACAACAACACGCACCGGAGAAAAGCAAAGCGCCGAGCGGGACAAGGGGACUGGCUACCAGGGAGUUACUGCAGGGUGCAGUACUGUGAUCGUGGAGAGAUCGAUGCCUCUAACAGGGACCACCCAGAUGCCAUGACGUUUCAAGCAGCUCCAAAAUGUUCAGUUUGAGUCAGAGCGUAACAUCCCCUUCAUUCUGGCAGAGCAGCGAGGACAUCCUGCUGAAAUUGUCAUGAAUUUCAUGACAUAUCGUGGCUCGGCCAGGAGCUCAGGAAGGUGUUUGUGUUCGGUUGCAUGGAAACUCGCUUUGCACUCGUGCUGACCAGCGGUGCCGAGACUGGGAGAUGCUCAGAGCUGGACCCAGGUGUGCUGGGUUGGAGACCUCAAGGGCACAACCACGGAGGUCUGGCCAGGCAGCUCACCCCCGGGUGCUGUCUCCUCUUCGUUUCUCCUGCUCAAACCUGGAGCUGGUGCUGUAGAACAUUCCCACACCUCCUCCUUCUCCUGCUCAGCCUCCUUGGCCAAAUAAAACCUGGAUUGGGCAGCCUCAUGCCAAGGGCACCUGGGUGUGCAUCCACCCUCCGGACCUGCAGGUCCCUGCUGCGCUCCCGGGGAAAAAAGCUUGGGAAAGCAGCCCCUUGUGCUCGCCUAUCCGCAUGGGAAGCAUCCUCCUGUCACUCCCAAGCAGCCCCGGAGCUCCGGCGGUGACAUAUGCUCCCUCCUCGCCCGCCUUUCAGCGCAGGUCCUCGCGGGAGGCCCAUUAAGCACUUAGCUGACCUUGGACCUCCGCCCGCGCCAGCUGCACGCGGGAGGCAGCGGGCAGGCACGCGAGCCCCGUGCCCGCCGGAGCUGUCAGCAGUGAUUUACCAUGCCUGGGCACAGGGUGGGCAGCGGGGCUGGCACAGAGGUGCCAGGGGGCUGCUCUGGCUGCUCCGAUCCCCAUGGCCCCGCUCGGUGCCCCUCUGGGUUCAACCCCGGGUCUUAAUUUUCCGGCUGACCGCACUCGCUCCUAGCGAGGCGGAGAGGGGAGGCGCAGAUUGCAGCGGGAGCAGCUUCUGGCGAUGGGGUGGUGGCUGGAGGAAGGAUGCAGAGGCUGUAACAGCUGCUCUGGGCUCUUUUCUUCCUCUCCAUGUACCUUCCUGAUGGGACCAAACCUGCCACAGGGGUGCUUCUGGCGAGGGGAUGGCACCAUCUCAUCCCGGCCAAGACAGCAUCCUUCGGACGUGCCGGUAAGCCCCGUGUCACUUCAGUUCCCAACGCAACACCCAGAGUCUGAGCCAUCGCCCCACCGCAUCCUGCUCAGCCUCGCAGCUUAGCCUUAUCUCUCAAAGCAGAAAGGCUGCAGAUUGCCCUCGACAACUUGUGAAAUAUCCUCCGUGGUCUGAGUGGACUCUGACCUCCUCCCCCCAGCCCCUCCUGCCCCAUCCCUGGGGGCCUCUCUCCUGCAGGAACCCCAGAGCCGGUCCCAUCCCCAGCUCAGCUCGGAGCCAGGACAUUUUUUUGUCCCCAGUUUGCAACACAAAACCGCUAAGGUUUGGGCUGUUCCUUGGGAGGAGGCAGCAGACAAGGGCAGUCCCUGGCAGGCUGUUUGCAGGCAGCUGGAGGAGAAAGAUCCAUACAGAAAAAUGAGGGUGGGAAGUCCUAAAGGAUGCUUCGGCUGCAGCAGCAGAAGACAAGGAGAGGCGCAGAGGUGCACCCAUCUUUUCUCCUAGCUGUAUUUGGGGAAAGCCUUGGGGAAAAAAAGGUAUUAACAGGCUCCUAGCUGUAGCAGCCCGCUCAUCACCUCUCCAGAGCCAGAGAGAAGUCGUCUCCACCAUCCCUGCUUCUGGGAGCCUGUUGUGGGGUGCAGCGAGAGACCAAAGGGAGGAGACAUCCCAGCUGGGUGUCACAGGGCGACUUCAUCUGUACGUGGCAAAGGAGGGAAGAAAACGUGAAUUUUCCAACUGGGUGCUGCUCAGGGAACCUUCUCAGGGGAUGGGGACACUUAUCCCAAGCUGUUGGUAAUAUUUCCCCUACAGACAAGCUGCAGGCACCUGCUCAAAUCGGAGCAACCUCCCCACAACCUCCUGCCCCGUGACAGUGAGAAAAUGCUUGGGGCACCUUGGAUGGGUGCAGGGCGGGUGUAUUUGUGGCUGCGCUGGGCAUAUCGACUUCUUGGCACCCAAAGGCCAGCCAAAGCACGAUUUUCAGAUGAAACCUUUGAUUUCUGAAGGCGUCUGUGAGCGAUGCGAGGCGGCUCAAAGGCGCUCGGCUGCAGCGGGCGGGCUUGCGCCACUGGCGCGGUAUCUCUGUUGGACACGGCACGACUCGUGGACAUGAAGCUGAGGAUCUGAAACUCUGCGUGCCUUUGAAAAUCUUCGCUUGGAGACUGGGUUUGAGGUUCUGAGGAACAAAAAAGGGUUUUGGAGCUGCUCGGGGGCAUGGAAAGAGCAAGAUAGGAAGGAGAAACGCUGCUUCUGGUGCUGCCUCGACUGAAAUAAAUGCCCCAAGAGCUGCUGCCCCGGGGACCGCUGAGUAUUUCUCCGCUCAGCCUUGAAACCCAAUCACCUUUUGCUUUGUUUGGCAGGGAAAAAUCCUCAAGGCUUCGGGGUUUGGCCUUGUUAUGGAAAAUGCUUUAAAACCA